UACGUAGGGCGCAAGCGUUGUCCGGAAUUAUUGGGCGUAAAGAGCUCUUAGGCGGCCAGUUGCGUCCGCUGUGAAAUCCCGGGGCUUAACCCCGGGCGUGCAGUGGAUACGGGCUGGCUAGAGGCAGGCAGGGGAGAACGGAAUUCCCGGUGUAGCGGUGAAAUGCGCAGAUAUCAGGAGGAACACCGAUGGCGAAGGCAGCCCCCUGGGUCAAGACUGACGCUCAUGCACGAAAGCGUGGGGAGCAAACAGG
rnacentral:rRNA from 1 species